rnacentral:lncRNA from 1 species
UUUGGAAAAUCAUUGGAUAGUACCCUUCCACUUCAGAUACAGAGAUACAGAUAAUAUGAGAUGAAUACAGUGAUACAGAUGAUAUGAGAUGAGAGGCCUUUGGGGCCCGUCUGAACACACACAGGGGUUUUGGGUCGUGUGUUUGGGCGUUUUUGCCUUUUGGGGGCUUAUGCAUGCAGUAUGAUGAUUAUAGAGAUACAGAUGUUGAGAUACAUGAGAUAUGAGAUGACAUUUCCCUGUCUAUUUGUUGUAGCUCCGGGGCAUGAUGAUUCCCUGAUUCCCUGAUUCCCUGUCCAUUGAGGUCCAGAUAUGAUGAGAUUAUUCCCCUGGAUACUUGUUUGGUGAUAGUUUUUGAUAUUCAGUAUUUGAUAUUAUAAUUAUUAUGAUUUCAUUGAUUUUAUGCAGAUUUAUGUAAUAUUGUUAUUUCAGUGCAUGAUUUGAAUUAAAUAAGUUUAUGUAAGUUCUUAUGAUAUUUUGAUGAAAUUGAUUUAUGAAAGAUUAAGUUAUUUUAAAUAAAUUUAUUUUUCUAAAAACUACUAUCCACUCACUGAGCUCACUGAGUUUUAUACUCACCUCGUUUUUAUUAUAUCCCCCCCCACAGGAGAUUUGCAGGUACAUCAGCCGACCCAGUAACGAUAGUUAGAUGUGAAAUUGUGGCCACGUGAUGGUGCUAGGAGUCGUAAAUUUAAUAUUUUUUUAUAUUUGGGAUAUUGUGAAUUGUAUUUAUUGUUAUAUUUUGUAAUUAAAGAUAACCAUUGUAUUUUAAUAUUAGAAUGAUUUGGUGAUAUUUGGUAUAUUGACUUAAGAAGUUAGUUAUGAAGGAUGGUUGGAUAUUGAAUUAUUUUUUGGAGUGUUGUUUUGUAAAUUGCAAAAUUGGGAAUGUUAUAUUUAUAUGGAAGAUUUUGUCGAAUUUUUGGUAAAAUUUUUAGAUAUCAGAAUUAUUAUUAAUUCGAUUAGGCGAGAUUAGAUAGACUCGUCCUGGGGAUUCGGGGCGGGUCGUUUCAUAAAUUAAGUGUGAAAUGAAAUAAAAAAUUUAUAAAUCACGCAUAAAAUUAGUAAAUUGAUGGAAAAUCGGAUAAAUUAAUGUUGGAGUUUUAAAUUGCAAGAAGAAUUUGUAAACAAAACAAAAACUUAGAAAAAUGACAUAGAACUUGUAAAUUGACUUUAAGUGUGAAAUAAGACAAAAAAUGUGUAAAUCACACAUAAAUCUAGUAAAUUAAUGGAAAAAUGGGUAAAUUAAUGAUGGAGUUGUAAAUUGCAAGAAAAACUUGUAAACAAAACAAAAACUUAAAAAAAUGACAAAACACUUGUAAAUUGAUAUUAAAUGUGAAAUGACACAAAAAUUUGUAAAUCACACGUAAAACUAGUAAAUUGAUAAAAAAUUGGGUAAAUUAAUGUUGGAGUUGUAAAUUGCAUAAAGAACUCGUAAACAAAAUAAAAACUUGUAAUUGUUGCAUAAAACUUGUAAAUCAACAUUAACUUGUAAAUGUUGUAUAAAAUUUGUAAAUCACACAUAAGAUUAGUGAUGUAACUUGGAAUUUGAAUAAAAAGAGUAAUUAUAUGCUAUUUAUGUAACAUAUUACCUAUUUAUUUAGAAUUAGUUGUAGAGAUUUUUUAUUCAAAUCUAACGGUUCACAUCAAUUAUGGCAUCAAUGCUAUAAAUUUAAUUACGGGAUUAUAGAAUGACCCUCAAUUUAGAGAGAAUAAAAAAUUUAAAUAAAGGGUUUAUAGAAGAAAUUGAUGGAUUUAAAUAGUCGCACCCCUUUUUUUAAUAAGACCAAAAAAGGGUUUGAAUAGCUCCAAGUAGGGGUGGGCAUAUUUUAAUGGUUAGCAGUAGGGGUGGGCAUAUUUUAACCAAACCGAUCCAAACCGACCUUUUGGAUCGGUUUGGAUCGGUUUCAUUAGUAAAAAAAUUGGUUUCGGUUUAUUGGAUGGUAAACCGACAUCACUCGGUUUGGAUUUCGGUUUGGAAGGAUUCCAAACCGAUUCAAACCGAUCCAAUCCAGAAAUAUUAUAUAAUUACAUUAUAUUUUAAGUUAAGCAAUCUAAUUAAUUAUAUUUAUCAUUUUAUGCAGAUUUUGACAAAUCAAAAGUAAUUGGGCUAUAAUUUUUUACGGACAAGAUGCACAAUAUUUUAAUUGUUAAAUGUUGUUCAAGUUUAUUUUAAUUUUGUGGAUUUGUUUUGAAUGAACAUGUUAAGAACUUGUUUAUUAGGAUGUAUUAUGCUGUAAACUUGUAUGGAUGUAUCUUUGAAUUGUUAUGUAGAUAUAAAAGUAGAUAUGAAUAAUAUAAAAGAGGUAUCAAUUUAGAUUAUGGACACAAAAAAAUAACAAAUAAUUUAGGUAAAAUAAUUUAAAAGAAGUGAAAUUUUAGCUAAUAAGUUCAAACCGGAUCCAAACCGAUCCAAACCGAUCCAGUCGGUUUGAAUCGGUUCGGUUUGAAAAAAUUUUAGGUUGAUAUCGGUUUGAAAAUAUUUCAAACCGAUUGGUUUGGAUCGGUUUGAGAAUAUAUCCCAAACCGAUCCAAACCGAAUUUGCCCACCCCUAGCUCCAAGAUAUACAUUAAUAUACUAUAAGAUAAAAUACAUGACAUUAAUGUGUGUAUAUCUUUUAGUUUGUCCACCAAAAAAUUACAUUAUUAUAAAAUUAUAAUAUUCAUAUUUUGCUCAACGGAAGAAGAAUACGAGUACUUGUGACUAUCUAGAAAAAGAGUCAUCGCUUUCGAUUUCACCAUAUUCUCCGUGGUUCUAAUGUAGUAGCACAUAAUCCGACGAUUUUUAUUUUUUUCAAUUGUUAUAACAAAUUGUUUUCAAAAUUAUUACUCAAACGUUCCUUAUGCUUUCAAAGUCAAUACUUUAAUUUUAAUUUUUUCUUCAUUCUCUCACCACCGAUUUGCUUUUGUGAUCCCUAAGCGAUUGUUUUUGGUACCCUGUAUUAGAUGGACCUGAACCGUAUCAAAUCACUUAAAUCUUGUUGGUGAUAAAGGAUGGUUGUAUUGUACUAGUUUAAAUAAUCAUAUCGGGCACCACACCCAAGGUCAAUGCGGAUCUGCACUCUUAUUUGUUAAAUUGAUUAUGAAACUAGAUAAUCAAAACAUUGCCGCUGGCAGCCCUACGCACCACCGUCCACCAUCACCUGAUAGUGGCCGUCGAAGUCGGGUGAAGUUAAAAUUAGUAUCAUUGAAAUCGUCAUCCCCGGAUUUAUCUAACCGUGCCAAAUUUAAUGGCAAAGGAUAUUCCUUCCGCUUGAUAAAUGUUUGGGAACCGCCAUCCAACUCAGUUCGCCACAGUUUAAAGGUGUUGAGUUGAGAGGCACAACCGCUGUCAUCACAACGAGUGUAUAUCAGUGAAGAGAAUUGGUGGGCUUUACGAAGAAUAAGGUUCAUUAAAUUUAUUUCUGUCAUUAAAGAAAGUGUUUAAAGAAUUUUAAAUUAUUUUUAUAUUUUAAUUAAAUAAAUAAAUAAAAGAUAGUUUAAAAAGUUUUCAGAGGUCGCCAAUACUCCUAUAGUCCAACUCACAAACGAGUUUGUGUAUUUUUAAAACUAAAGACUAAUGUACCCACCUGAGCAAAUGAGGUAGAACUGCCUAAAUGGGCUUCAAUUGGGCGGAAGCGCGUAGCUACAUGCAGCUGCAGGAAAAAAGUUUCAGGAAAAAUAAGAGAUUGGAUUGAAAUUUACCAUUUUAUGCAUAGUUUAUGUUUGCGCACAGGGUUUACAUUUUCAUGUUAUACCCUCCCUACUCAUGUGUAUGGUUUUUGUAUUAUAGUCCUCAUUUUGCAUAAUUGGUCCUCUCAAUUUUAUUGAUUUUACUUUUAUAACAUAAUUAGGGCAUCUCCAAUGCUUAAUACCAUUUUGGUGUAACACCAAUACAAAAAAUAUAUCUUUUUCACACUAAAUUAUUAUUUCAUCUCCAACCCAUUUACACCAAAUUUUACACCAAAAAUAAUAUUCUUCUUUUUAUUCUUUUAAUUCUCAAGAAUUAAUUCAAUUAACACAAUAAAUAUUACUAUUAAUAUAGAUAAUUUAGUAAUAAGUAAUUUUAUAUCGAUUAACAAAAAAAAUAUAGAAAAUUAUUAAAUUUUCAUUUAAUUAACUAAAUCAAUAUUUUCAAAAUGAACAAAUUAAGAUUUUACAGAGAAUAUCUUUGCAAGGCCAAGCAUCUCAAAAUACUUCCAAUAAAAUUGACCAAUAUUUUGAUGAUAUUGGAGAAUCUAAUAAUGAUCUCCCAAAUUAUUAAAUAAUUGUUCUAAUAUAUGCUAGUAGUAGUAGCUUUUUUAAUUUGUGUUAAUUUAAUUUUGUAUUUUUAAUUUUGUAAUAUGUAAUCUAGUAAUUAAUGUUAUUGGCAUUUUGUUUUUAUUAUUAAUUUUUUGUGUUGAAUAUUUUUUUAUUUAAAAUAUUAGUAUAAUAUUCAAAAAUUAAAAAAUGAAAUAAAAAUAAAAAUAAUAACUUAAAAUAUUAUAUAAAAUAUGACAUAUAUGUAAAUAAAAUAAUAAUAAGGAUAUUUGUGAUUUUUUUCCUAACACCAAAUGAAUAGUAUUGCACCAUAUUUAGUGCAAUAUUAUUCAUAACACCAUUUUAGUGUUGGUUUUAGUGUUACAUUAAAAAAGUAUUUUACACUAAAAAUAAUGUAAAAAAUAAUUUAAUGUUAGUUUUAGCGUUAUAUUAGAUAUGACCUUAAGUUCAUAUUUGUUUUCUCUCUCCCUAAAGAAAAAAAGUUUAUAUUCUUUGCAGUAUGUCCUCCAUCGAACCAAUUGUUUCAUGGCAUUUGUCUUUUCUAUUUCUCUAUUUUAUUUAUAUAAUAAAAAACAAGAAAAGAAAAAACAGGUCGAAGUGGUGGCCCAUGACUCCAUUCCACAUGUCCUCGUCAUGUCUCUUCACUUUUGCCAUGCCCUUUUGCAGCUUUUUCCCGCUCUCCUUAUUAAAUCUCUUUAAUUUCGCCAUGUUCCUCUGCAGCUGCCCAUAUGUAUUUGCUGCAUAAUAUUGAGUCUCCAAUCGUUGCUGUCACCUCGUUCACUCUGUUCAAAUUAUUUUUGUUAAAAUUGUUUUCACUAUCAUGAGUAUCAAUCAAAUUUUUGGCAAAUGUGAUUCAGUUGGGUAUGAUAAAAAUACCAUCAUACAAGCAUCAUUUUAUUUGCCCCUAAAGUCUAAGUUGCUUGGAGGAAUCCUAUGUAUCCUUAUCUAUUUGUGGGUUCUUGUUAGUUCUACCUUUUAAAGUCUCACGCAUACAAGAUUAUUAAAAGAAGAUUGCAGACAGUGUCCGAAAGUAACAAAGAAUUGUGAAAUGAAUUUGGAGAGAGUAAACAACAAAAAAAUUUGCGGCUGAGAAAAAAAAAACAAACAAAAAGUUAGAUUGAAAAAAAAAAGAAAAAGAGAGAGAAGAUAAGAGAGAGGGAGAGAGAGUAUGAUAAAGGAGGGAGAUAAGAGAGAGGGGCAGAAAGAUAGGGAGUGGUGUCCAUACGAAGAGAGAAGCAAUAUUAAAAAUUUUAAAAAUUUAAUUUUAAUAAAGGGAUAAUUUUGUCCUGCACCCAACUGUUUCAACAUUUUUCACCACACACCCAUAUGUUUCAAAAAUACUCACUCCACACCCAAUUCCGUUAAUUUGACCGUUUAUUCUAACGGUCAAAGGGUAAAUUUGAAAAUUCAUAUCCUAAAUAUUAUUUGAUGAUGAUAAAUUAAAUUUAUUUGAUAAUUUAAUUGAUGAAAUUAUUAUUAAUUACCUUUAAAUAAAUUUUUUUAAUGUAAACAUUAAUUAUUAAAUUAACAUUUUAUCUCAAUUAAUUAUUAAAUUAAUCAAGAUAAGGGGUAUUUUGGACAUUUAUUUAAAUUUCAAAUAGCUCCGUUAAACAUAACGGUCAAAUUAACGGAAUUGGGUGUGGAGUGAGUAUUUUCGAAACAUAUGGGUGUGUGGCGAAAAAUGUUGAAACAGUUGGGGGCAGGACAAAAUUAACCCUUUAAUAAAUCUCAUGAAUUGAUUUAUUUCAAAUCUAAUGGAUAUUAAUUAGUGUAAAAUUUAGAGUAUUUUUAACAAUCAACUAAUCCGCCUCUCUCUAUAUAUAUAUGUGUGUGUUUGUGUCUGUGUGUGAAGAGAAAGAGCCUCUCAAGUGCAAACGCUAAAUGUGGAUUUUGUGUGAAUUCGCUAUUACUAAUAUGGCGUUCGUGUGUUUCAGAUGUAUUUUCAUUCAUUUUGAUUCAUUUACAAGUAAAUGGGUCUUACCUAACCCUCCCACCUUAUUCUGGUUUUGAAUAAAAGAAAAAUUAAAAAAAGAGUCCAAUAUCCUUAUAGCUCGCACAAGAACCUAUUGAGGCCCCAUCACCACGUUCUCAUACAUGUGUUGGUUACAAGCAAACCAUUUAGGGCUAAUUCGGUGAUACUAUAAUUUUUAAAAUAAUUAUUAUUAGCUGUGCUAUAGAAAUAAUAAACUGUGAAAAUAAUCAGUUAAAAGUUUGAUAAAUCUCACUGUCAAGUUGCUAUAAGAAUAUGAGUGAUGAUACAACUACAAACUCUUAUAUAAAUUUAUCUUGUACAAACUGAUGUGGUAUUAAUUCAUUGGUUGAAUGAGCCAAGAGAUAUUUAAUUCAACCAAUGAAUUAAAGCCACAUAAGUUUGUACAAGAGUUUGUAGUUAUAUCAUUACUCAUAAGAAUAUAAAUGAUUGAAUUGGACAUAAUGUUGGAUAAAAUUUAUUUAUAUACUAAAGCAAAUACUUUAUAUUAUUAAUUUUAUUUUUUAUUUUGUUAUCUCAAUAUAAUAAAUAAAAUUAAUAAUUUCUUUAAAGUUAAUGAUUUUAUUUCCUAAUUAAUAAAGAUAAUUUUGGAUCUUUAUAAUAUAUAUGAGGAUAUAUAUAUAUAAGUAUAUUAAAUAUAAAAGUAAUUCUCAAAAUUAGAUUUUGAAAAGUAACUUUUUUUCUACUUUUCCAAAUAUACUGUAAGAUGAGGUAAUUUCAAUUAAAAUAAUUUUUAAAAAAAUUAUCAAAUAAUAAAAUUAGCUUUUAACUUUUUAAAGUCACUUCUAAACUUCCCAAAAACAAUCCAAAAAACGAGCCUUUACUCCAUAAUUAUAUCAUGUAAACUUCACACAUAAUUACAUUUUUGUCUAUAUGUAUGCUUAUAAAUAAAUCACAAGCAUUCAAAUUAAUAAGGGACACCUCUCGACCAUCUAAAAAAUAAAGCAAAGAAAUAAGAUGAGCAGAGGAUUUGAAUCCCUCCACACUGCUUAAGAUUACAAUAAUAUGCAAGAUUUUAAUGUCAGCAAGAUAUAAUUCCAAGAAAUCGAUUAUUAUUAUUUGUAAUGUAAUGGAACUUUUACGAUCCCUUAUCGGAAAAUAUGUUUUUUUUUAUCCAUUUUAUUAAUACUCAUAGGAAAUAUACAUCAUUUUUAAUAAGGAUUUGCCUUUGAAAUGUUUAAGUUUUUAGUCUUUUUUUUAUAGCUAUUUCCUUAAUAUCUGGAUAAUUACUAUUUUAUGAAUUUGGUAUUAUAGUUUUCUUUGUAGAAAUUUUCUCGAAGAAUUAGGUUGUUCCUCAUUAUAUAUAUAUAUAUAUAAAGAAAAAGUGAAAAAAGUUGAGUUUACUUUUUAAAUACAACUUCUUCUGAAUUUAGAUAGCUCCUAGUAAGAAAAACAUGGCGGUCUAUUGUGAUUAUAUGUCAUCGAAGUACGAGCGUAACUGUCUAAGGAAGAAAUACUUUGAUGAGGUUGUAAAACACUUUCAGGGUUUAAAAAUUUUUAUGUUGUGUAAUUAAUUAUUUGGUAUUUUUGCUUGCAAAUCACUGAUGGGAUUGGAAUCUCAACAAUGAACUUCAUUAUUGCACUAGAUUAAGAAUCAUGUGAAGAUCUAGGAAAGGAGAGAAGGAUCUUGUUGCUCCUAGUCCUUUAACUUUGGUCAAUUCAAAAAAAUAAGAAUAUGUCAUACACAAAUUUAUCAUCCACUAGUUUUGUUAAAAAUAGUAGGCACUGCUCUUCUGAAACUUGUGGGGUGGUGAUGCCGCGUAAAUUGAAGAAGGAAAACGGAAAAGCCACAUUUGUUGAUAAAAGAAAAAUAUAUUAUUUUAAUAGCCUAUUUUGGCUAUAAGAGGGGGAGUUCCCCAUAGGCUUUUAUCAUCUCAUUCUUUAGCUCUCAAUUUUAUUUUCAUAAAGAGAAGUCAAGAGUUAAGUGAGAGAAUUAAGGGUUGUAAUAAAUUCUUAAGUAAUUAGUGAGCGAGAGAUUGAGUGUAUUGAGGUUUUAGGUAAUAAGUCAAAAAUAUUACAAUAUGUGUAAUACUCAUUUCACUAGUAAAGUUUUAUCCUUCUAUCUUCACCCCAUGGAUAUAGGCUAAAAGCCAAACAACUUAAAUUUAUGGUGUCCUCUUUAUGUGCUUAGUUUUCAUUUUUCUUUAAAUUUCAUUUUAGCUAUGAUUCUGUUUCACCCAUCAAUUCCCUAAUAUUGGUAUCAAAGCAAUUGGUUUUAUUUUUGAAGUUGAGGCACCGUUAAUGAGAACGACCCUCUUUACACAUGGUACUAUUCACAUAUAUGGUUACUGUUCACGUGAAAUAGCGGGAGCCAAUUUUAACAAAGGCAGUUCAUGGUGAAAAGCAAUGGUGGUAAAAUACAAAAUUAAGAAGUUCAACGGAAACCAUUUCUCGUUAUGGAAAAGGUAUUUUGAGGAAAAACAAUUACUUGGGAGCAAUAUGAGAAAGGCCUACAGGGAUAAUUGAUGAUGCCAAGUUGAAUGAAAUAGAUAGGAAUACAAUUACUGAUCUGGCUAAUGAAGUGUUAUCUAGCGUGAAGGAGAAAAAGAGAGCAAAAGAAAUAUGAGAUACUCUAACGAAACUAUACGAGGCUAAAUCACUACAUAAUAAUAUCUUCUUGAAGAGGACACUUUACACUCCAUUGGUGACAGACCAUAUCAACACUCUGAAAACUCUAUUAUUAGAAAUUACAAUGUUAGGCCAUAAAAUAGAGGAAAAUGAACGUGUAGAGUUUUUCCUUUAAAGUUUACUAGAUUCGUAUGAUCCACUUAUCAUCAAUCUAACGAACAACAACUAAGCAGACAGUCUAAUCUUUGGCAAUGUUGCAGCCUCUAUAUUAAGUAAAGAGAGCAGGUGAAAAAAUAAGGAAGAUGGAUAGACAAGUUUACAAUAAGCGGACGCGCUAUCGAUGACAAGCGAGAGAUCAACGGAAUGUGGCCCAAGUGAGAGUCACAAUUAGGGUAGAUUUAAAAUCAAGAAGUAAGGAAAAUGCCAAAUACUACAACCGUGGCAACAAAGGGCAUGUCAAGAAAGAAUGUUGGAAUAAUUAAAAGCGUUGAGACAAUAAAGUUGAGUCAUCAAAUACUCAGGGUUGUGUAGCAAGUACUUUUGAUGAUGGUGAAAUUCUCUACAGUGGGGCAACAACUAUUAUAGAAGGCAAGAAGUGGUUAAUUGACAUCUAGUUUAUAGACUCAGGAACAACAUGGCAAAUGAUCUCUCGAAAAGAAUAGUUCCACAAAUAUAAACCUAUCUCAGGAGGAUUUGCAUACAUGGGGUGAUGAUCAUGUCUUGAAAAUCAUUGGUAUUGGUACUGUCAGAAUAAAAAUGUUUGAUGGUACAGUUCGCUCAAUUAAAGAUGUAUGACAUGUUGAAGGUUUGAAGAAGAGUCUAUUGUUUUUAGGAUAAAUAAAUAGUCUUCACUACAAAAACUCAUGUAGAAAAUGGGAUAAUGAAGAUUGCUAGAGGCGUACUUGUAUUAUUAAAAGUAGAAAAGAUCAAUAUUAAUCUAUCUAUGGUCAAAGGGAAAGCACUACAAGAAACCAAUGCAUGUGUUGCGUCAAAUAAUGAAAAGUUGGUGAUGAUGCAACAUCUGAAACUUGGCCACAUGUCAUAACAAAAUUUAAAGAUUCUCUCUGAGGGAAAGUUGCUUCUAGGGCUGAUAUCGGUGAAUUUACUAUUUUGUGAGCAUUGCGUUACAAGUAAGCAGCAUAGAUUGAAGUUCAACAGAUCUAACAUUAAAAGUAAAUGCAUUCCAGAUUUAGUUCAUUCAGAUGUUUGGGAAUCAUUGAAUAUAUCCUUGAAAUGUGUCACGUACUUGGUGACUUUCAUCGAUGAUUAUUUUAAGAGAUGUUAAGUGUAUCCAAUCAAGAAAAAGUCAAGUUUGCUUCUAGUAUUCAAAGAAUUCAAAGCAUGGGUAGAACUUAAAUCCGGGAAAAAGAUCAAGUGCUUCAAGAUAGAUAAUGAUAGAGAGUAUACAAAUUGUGAGUUUCUUGUGUCUUAUAAGCAAGAAGGUAUUAGAAAACAGUUCACAAUUACAUAAACUACUCAACAAAAUAGAAUGGCGGAGCUGAUGAGCAAAACUUUUAUAGAAAGAAUAAGACAUAUGCUUAGGGCUGCUGGUUUACCUAAAUCAUUUUAUGUAGAAGUAGCCAAAACUACAUGUUUUGUGGCAAAUUGAUCACCAUUUAUGGUAAUUGGGUUGAAAACUCUUAUAGAAAUGUAGACUGGGAAGCCAACUGAUUACUCUUAUUUUCUUGCAUUUGGAUGUCUUGUGUACAUAAUGUACAAUACCCAGAAAAGAACAAAGUUGGAUCUAAAAUCCAAAAUAUAUAUCUUCUUUGGGUAUGUUGAUGGAGUGAAGUAUCAUCUGUGGGAACCCACUUCGCAUAAGAUUGUCAUCAGCAGAGAUGUUAUUUUUCUAAAAGAUCAACUACAAAAGAAAUAUGAGGAUGAUAUCACUGUAAAGAAAAAGUCAGAGACUAUACCGAUAUAUAUGAAAAAUAAUCCAAAAAAUUGAAGAUUUAGAUUCUUCUAAAAUAGCACUAGAGCAUAAGAAACAAGAACCAGUCGAUUCCGAGGCUCCAGAAGUUCAUCGGUCAAAUCAUAAGAAAAGAUCACUGGUAUGGCACUUGGAGUAUUUUAUGGAGAUCAAUAUCACAUACUAUCUUGUAACAAAGGAUGGAAAGCUAUUAACUUUUCAUAAAACUUUAAAAAGCUCAAAUGUUGCUUUGUGGAUGUCAACAAUAUAGGAAGAAAUUGAAGCUCUACACAAGAAUAAAACAUUAAAACUUUGUACCAUUACCAAGUGAAAGAAAAGCCAAUAGAAACAAGUUGGUGGUGAAAGGUUAUGCUCAUAAAGAAAGCAUUGACUUCAACAAGAUUUUUUCUCCAGUGGUUCGACUCACAACAGUUAGAGUAGUAUUGACAAUGUGUGCUACAUUUGAUCUAUAACUAGAGCAGUUAAAUGUGAAAACUGCAUUUCUUCAUAAAGAACUUGAAGAUAAAAUUUAUAUUCUCCAACCAGAAGUUUUUGCUGAAAUAGGUAAAGAGAAAUUGAUUUGAAGUUGAAUAAAUCUCUAUACGGUCUCAAACAGGUGCUUAGGUGUUGGUAUAAGAGAUUUGAUUCCUUCAUUAUGAGCUUUGGAUACAACGAGUUCAGACCAUUGUGCAUAUUACAAGAGGUUUAAUGAUGAUAAUUUCAUCAUUUGUUGUUGUAUGUGGAUGACAUGUUGGUAGCAGAUGAUCGACUCGAGAAUUGAAGGCACAAUUUCUAAUUAAACCCCACUCAAAAUCAAAUAAUGUUUUCCCCUUAAAAAUUUCUUAUUACUAUUGGAUUUGUUAAUAGAAUUAUUGCUAUUAUCAUUGACAUAAAAUCAUUCCUUGCUCUUAGAUUUGUUCCAUUAUCACGUUCUUCACAUAAAAUCAUUGCUAUUAGAUUUGUUAAUAGAAGUCAUUUCAUAGAGGUAUGUAAAACUUUGGAAAUUCAAAGUAUGCUGCAAUAUCUUUAUUAUUGGACUAAUUUUUCUGUGGCUUUUUUUUUUUUUUUUUCUGUAGGUGUUCAUGCUUCCAGCUUCACAUAUUUCUCCUAUUGUGAAUGGUUUGAUCAAGUAUCAUGAACCAUGUGUUGAUUAAUUGUCUCAAAAUCAUGGCUUUUUUUUGCAGGUGUUCUCUCUUUCUUUUUUAAUAGAUGAUUAAUUGUCUCAAAAUCCACAAUCAAGGGAUCAAAAAUAAAACAAUGGGGUUUAUACUAAUAAUUUAAAUUAAGGGUAUUUUUUUUCAUUAAAGGGGUGUUAAAAGAAUUUUAUAAUAUUUUUAAAUAUUUUAAUGGGGUUAAUAAAGAAAAGAGGUGUUGAGAGAUAUUUAGAGGGUGCCAAUAGUCCCACUCUAAAAAGAAUCAUAAUAGUAAUGUGGUGUGUCAUAUCAUCAUACCAUAAAUAACCAAGAGUUAAACCUAAUAUGGAUAACCUCAAUUCUCCUAAAAAGGUGAACAACUCUUUGGUUGAGUCACACUUUCUCCUCUCCUCUUCGAGGUCAACGGUUUGAUUUUGUAGGUACGUGUGGGAGUAUAUUUGUUUAUUUUUUCUUGGUUUCAAUUUUGAUACAUCUCAGGCAGUGAGCUGUAUUUAUAAUACUAUCCAAUACAAUAUAAAAAGGUUGAGGAUAUUGAACCCACAAAGAUCCCCAUGACACCCAUUUUCUUAAUUCACUGUUAAAUAAUUAAAUUUAAAAUUUUAGUUUAUAAACCUUCAAUAUCCCAAAAUUGAACCUUAUUAUAUCUUUAUAAUUCUAUUUUAUUUUUCUCUUGAGCUGCACCCUAGUCUUCAUUCUUUUUCGUUCUUAUUAUCCUUCGUCCCUUUUUUUUUAAUUCACAUCCCAACCUCGAAAUUAUAGUCUAUUGAAAAUCCUUCUCCUUGUUACUUGUUUUGGAGGUUUGGUUAAUUCUAUGAACCAAAUGAUACUCUUUUAAGCGUGUUUUGAGGUAUUGCAAAUUGAAAUGGCCAACAAUUUAAUAAAGCAUGCAUUGAUAAAACAAUAUCAGAUAUAUUCAAACAAGCAUUAUAUUUUGUAGAUAUUAUUUGCAGUAACCACAAUAUGAAAAGAGAUGAUAGUGAUAAUAUUGAGAAGAAGGAAAUUAAAGUUCCGAGGAUCUGCAGAGAGAUAACAAGUAAUUUCAUUUAUCUAAUCAAUAAAUUAAUAAAUCUGUACUUAAUAGUAAAAUACUAUAAGGUUAUUUUAGUAAUAUAAUAUUUUUUUUUUGAAGAGAAUAGAAUAUUUUAUUAAAAAGCGGAUACAAGUAAAUAUUCUCAUAGAUUCAAAUAAACCCUCUCUAUUAAAAAUUUUCUAAAAAGAAUUGUACUUAAAAAAUGUAUAUAUAUAUCAAACCAACGAGAGUUGACUGUUUGAGGCCAUUCAAAACAAUAAAGUUUUAUUGUAAAAAAAAAAAUAAAAUUAGGAACCAAAGCCUACCAUAUAACUGAUAAAAGCACACCUAAGACGAUGUUGUUUUGGAUUUGUUUAAGAAAAAGUUUUAAAUUCACCCAAAACGACAUUAUUUUACAUGUGCUUUUGUUAGUCUUUUGUGAGGGGCUAGUUCAAAUAUCAGUUUCUCUUUAUUCUAACAUAUAAAUACUCUAACAUCCGUUUCAUCAUUCUACCGGAUAUCAAAAUGAAGAUUAAUUUCUGCAUUUUCAUUGUUCUGUUUGUUUACUGCAUUUCCUCUGUAGAAAAUAAUUCUGGUUUUGACCACUUUUGGCUGGUCCUGAGCUGGCCACCUGUCUAUUGCCUACAAAUCCGCUGCGAAAGAAAACCAACAGAUUUCGUCCUACACGGUCUCUGGCCAGUAAACUCUACCGGGCACAGUUUGAAAAAUUCCACCAACGGCACCCCUAAUUUCUACUCGAUGGUACUCCCGCUCCUUUUUUUUUUUUUAAAAAAAAAAUUAGGAGUCAGUUUGCUAGCUUUGUUUUUCAAACUUUUUACACCGUUCUAAUGUUGCGAAAAUUUAUUUGCUAUUGGUUCUCAAGCUACGCAAUCAUUCUUUUGGUAUCGAAAUGGAUGAACACUGGCCAAGUCUCGGUUCCAAAGAAGGACGAGAUCCGUACAAACAUAUUCGUUUCUGGGAGCAUGAGUGGGAAGAGCAUGGCAGCGGCCAACCUUACGGAGAUACAUAUUAUCUCCAAUCAGCUAUCAGACUAAGGAAAAGUGUGAACCUGCUGAGAAUACUAAGAAUCAAGGAAUAUUUCCAGAUGGAAGGAGUUACUGGGAAACUGGGUACGUGGAUGCAAUAAAAGACGCAUACGGUUAUCCAGUACUUAAGUGCUUCAAUGGUUAUCUGCUAAAGGAGGUGACUAUAUGCGUUGACGGUCAAGCAAGAAGUUUCAUUUCAUGCAGUCCCGCAGAACGGAGAUCAGCCAAUUGCCAUAACGUUAUCAGCUUCCCCCGGCAUAAAUAACUAGCAAGCAGUGUGAGUCAUGCGUCAGUUUCUUGAAAAGUUGAGGGUGCAUGCGUCAAUUCUGAAAAAAAGGAAAAACUAAAAGAAAAAGAGAGGAAGAAGAAGAAGAAGCACAAGGAGAGCAUACACUGCCCCUUAUUAAACUUUAGUCUGAAUCACAUCAUUCUUUUUUUAAAUGUCUCAAUAUUAGAUUCUCUUUUCUGAAAUAAAAGAUUUAAAAAUAAAAUAAUUUUACAUUUGUUCCUCUGUAGAUUUUAAAUAUUAAUAAACAAUAAAGCAUCUUUAGAGAACAUAUAUAAUAAGUAAAAUUCUCUAAACUGUUAAACAACAAAGGCAAAGAAGAAAAUUGUAGACAUAAAAUAUAAAUCAUCAUUCUUUUAUCUCCUAUUAUUUCGCAUAUAUUCAAGAGUAUAUGAUAACAAAGUCAAAGUAUACAAAUAACAAAGUCAAGUCUCUUUCUACAGGCAAACAACCAUAAAGAGGUAUGUAAUGGGUCAAAAAAAUAAGAGGACAAUGGACCUUAAUUUAGUAGGGAGAUAAGCGGUUAGUGGCGAAAGAUCAAAAGUCUUAAAAGUUACAAACAUGGAUAUGGUUAUAUUUCCAUUAGAUGGACAUCUAGUUAUUUGUUCGCCAUAUUCAUAACUUAAACUACUAUUUCAUUUUAUCUCUAAAAUAAGGUUACGUACCCCUUCAUUUAUUGACAAAAUUCAAAACUGCUCCAUAUUUUUAUGAGUUAUAAAGUUUAACACACGUGCUUGGCUUUAGCUAAAAUAAAAAGCCACAAAUCGCUUAUUAAUUUUCAGCCAUCAAGAUGCAUGCUUCAUCAAUCUCAGCUGCCUGCUUCACUUAAUCUAUAAUCCUGCAUGCUUCAUCUAUUUCACAUGCCUGCUUCAUUAUUUUAGCCACCAGGCUGCUUAAUUCGAUGAGCAUUUUAAAAUGAAAAAUUGAAAGCAGCUCCCAUUUGGAUCAUUUUAGGAAGCGAGCGAGCGAGAGAGAGAGAGAGAGAGAGAGCAAGGAAAAGAGAAAAAGAAAGAAGUAAAUAGAAAAACAAAGAAGGAAAAAUAAAGGAAAAGAAGGAAAUGAUUUAAGAACCCAAGAGUGAAAAAGAAGUUAAAAAGAGAAAUUGCGAAGAAACAUUACAUGAAAUGGAACUAGGUGGUUAGAUUAAUUUCCACUGAAUCAGUAGGUAAUAGAUAUAUGAAGUUUGAGUAAUCAUGUUUCAGUUUUCAUGACAUAUAUAAGUUUAGACCAGUUCUAAUAGUUAAUUUUUGAACCCUAAGCUUAGGAGAAAUUCACGUUCCCAAGAAUCAACAAGAGUUCUAAGAAAAUAGCAAUUGAGCUAGGAUUUGUGAGUGGAUUACUAUUAUUACUAAUAUGUAUUCUAUGAAGUAUCUAUAUUUGAUUUAAUGGUUCAGUAGUAUGAUAUGAUUACAUUUAUGCAUAUUAUAUGACUUAUGAUGUCAUGAGAUGUGAUUGCAAGUUACCAUAUGUGUAUCCUCCCCUUUAUAUACUAUGCACAUGCGUAUUAAGAGUUAAAUUACUCUACCCAUACAAUGUGGUUAAAUUUUAUUGGGUUUUAAGAGAUUUUUCCUCGCUCUGCUCCUUCAAUAAUGAUCUUAGUGAGUACGACAAUUAUUUUCCUUGUUAUUAUUUGGUACAGUUGUCAUGUAUGUAUGUAUGAUUUCAUGUUUACUUAUGUAUUAUGUUCAAUGUGGAGUUAUGUCAUAUAAUUAUGUAUAAGCACUAAGGCAUUACUUUAUAUAUAUAUAUACCUGUGGCUGCACAUGGUGGAGCCCACCAUGUGCAGCCAACCCAAAAAAAUUAAAAGAAGGAAUUUGGGGCCAUUGGACUUGAAACCAACGGCCCCAAAUUUCGUCCCGAAUGCUGUUCCAAUUCGGCACUCCCGGAUUGGAACAGCCUCCUAUAUAUAUAUAUAUAUAAUUAUAUCCACUCACUAAGCAGCAAGAUCACCAUUUUCUUAUUUUCCCAAAUUCUACCAGAUUUCUGUAGGAUUCUAUGUAGUUCAAUUUCUAAUUAAUUAAGGUUGGGUAACGAUCCACAUUGCUGCAUGACCUACAUUUGAACAUAUUUAUAUUUGUAUGUAUAUAUUUGAAAUGUACGUAUGUAUAGUGAGCUGUGAAGUGUGCAUGUUUCAAAUAUAUUUUCAGAUUAGACAUAGAUGUUAUUAUUUAUUUAUAGUAUAGGUCCGAGGCCAUUUUUAUAUAUAUAAAUUAAAUUUAUAUUAUGAGCUUUAGAUAUGAGAAUGAAAUAAGUAAUACGGUGAGUUUUCACGCGAUCUGCACUAGAUCUGAUAAAUGGUUCGGAUCAGGUCUUGUCAUCAACACAUACCAUCCCCUAGUACUUUAAUUACAUGGGCAAAAACAUUAUUGUUAAAAAUUAAUAUAAAAUUCUAAUUUAAAUAAAUAAUUAUUAAUAUAACGAAAAAAUAUUUUGAAAAGCAACUAAAAUACUUAUCAAGAAAAAUACUUAUCUUUAUUUUUUAUUUUUUAAAAGCAAUGAAGUUUUAUUUAUAGAAGUCAGAUUGUAAUCAGCUAAAUCAAUUACCUAAAUCUUAAAAUAAUUUAGACUAUUAAUUGAGAAUUAAAUAAAGAAGAUGAAUAAUAAACUAAUUUUUUCAAAGAAUAAAGGUGAAAAAAGUGAGAAUUGGAAUUGAAAGUUGAAGAGUUUAGAAAGAGGGAACUACAAAUUGAGAAUUUGGGAGUGAAGACAAAUGUCAAAUAUAUACCACUGUUAAUGUUAGCUUAAUUUAAGGAUAUACACGUAUUGGUAAUACAACUAACUUGAAGGAUUUUAACUAUCUUAUUAUUUCAUUUAAUAUAUUACAUAUUAAUUUUUUCAAAUUUUCUUAUAGGGGCCACUGCUCGUUUCUGUCUCUUCAUGGAGCCGCCCCUUGCUACAAGGGAUAGAGUUAAUUGUUUUUAGAGUUAAUCGUUUUAAUAUCCACAUCCUAGUCAUCAAUUGGCUUUCAAAAGAAAUGAAAAGCAACAAUUUUAGAACUCCGAAAUGUUUGUUGUUGUCAUCGUCGACAAAGGACUAGAGAAAUUUAUUUAAAUAAAAGCAUAGAUACACCUAGUGAGGGGGACAUAAUGUGCCUUAUUUUAACCCUCAAGCUAUAUAUAAUAGAGCAAAAGCAAAGCAUGAAUGCAUACAAGAAAAUCACAAUAGAAACUAAAGAAAGUGUUGUGCAAAUUUUAUUGUAUUCGCAAGCGCACGAAUUUAUUGUAGAAUAGAUUUUGUGGUGAUGAGUGUCGAUUUCACGAGAAAGUAGAUUUAAUUAUGCGUAGGGUUAAUUUUCUGGGUGUAGAUGUGAGUUGGUUGGAAGUGAAUUUUUUAAUCUUAAGAUUUAAAAUAAAAUGGCAUAAAUAAAUUAAAAAUAAAAUCAAUGCAAAUGAAACGCUUGAGUUUCUGGAUUCACACUCAACAUUCACCAUGGGCUUAAUAUUUCCUUUUAGUUCCAAUUAAUUCAUGCGGAGUAUUUUCACUCUACAUAAUCCUCACUCUAAUAAAUAUGGUAUCAAGGCGAAGUGGCUGGCCGAAUCAAUCUAAUUGGCUAACCGUUUGGUUUCUGCCUUCGAAACGGUUAGUUACCUUGUAGAGACCAAAUGGACAGUCACUUACAACCCUCCAGCAAGCCGCUUGCUCUGGUUUUCAUCUUCGUCCUUCGGUUUCUUCAUCUUCUCUCUCUAAAACACAAAAUUUGCACCUCUAUCUUACUACAACCCAACAUUUUCUUAUGCUUUUCUUGCGAAUUUUAUGCUUCCAAACUAUUAAUCAUCUUUUCAAACCAUUAAUCAUAUCAGGAAAAUUUGUUGAGAAAAACAACAGAAAAUAAAAAAAAAAUUUCAGUUGUUUUGAGGAGUUUCACUCUCAACAUGGACUUUCACGGUAACGAUUCCGAUGAUGACUAUGGUAAUACAGGUUGAACAACCGACAAUGAAGACAACGGUGCAGCAGGAGCAAUGGUCACCAAUCGGAAAAGCAACAGCUUUGCCACUCUCUCUACCAUACACAAACAAAAUACGGGGUUGAUGUAUUAGAUUGGUUGUUUAAUGUGAGCGAGAUGGUGGCUUUUAUUUUAUGGGAUCGUGGGGAGUCCUACCCCAUUUAACCCAAGGAGGGUUUUGUCAUCCUAGAUAAGAGAGAGAUGUGAUUUCAAGUGAUGAGCAAAGAAAUUGAAUAAGAGAAAAUUGGGGACUUUGAUGGAGAUAAAAAUUGCUAGUAACCGGUAUUACAAGUUGCCCCUUUUUUCUAUUUUUAUUUACCAUUAAAUCUCAACCGUUGGAUUCUCUUCCGUACACAAACAAAAUACCAUGGUUGAUGUAUUGGAUUGGUCGCUUGAUGUGAGUGAGAUGGUGGCUUUUAGGUGGCUUUUAUUGUAUGUGAUUAGUAAUGAAAUCAAACAUAGAAAUUAGGAAUUAGAGAGAGUAGAUGUGAUUUCAAGUGAUGAGCAAAGAAAUUGAAUAAGAGAAAAUUGGGGACUUUGAUGGAGAUAAAAAUUGCUAGUAACCGGUAUUACAAGUUGCCCCUUUUUUCUAUUUUUAUUUACCAUUAAAUCUCAACCGUUGGAUUCUCUUCCGUACACAAACAAAAUACCAUGGUUGAUGUAUUGGAUUGGUCGCUUGAUGUGAGUGAGAUGGUGGCUUUUAGGUGGCUUUUAUUGUAUGUGAUUAGUAAUGAAAUCAAACAUAGAAAUUAGGAAUUAGAGAGAGUAGAUGCGAUUUCAAGUGAUGGGCAAAGAAAUUGAAUAAGAGAAAAUUGGGGACUGAGGGAGAUAAAAUUACUAGUAACCGGUAUUACAAGUUGGCCCUCUUUUCCUAUUUUUUUUUUACUAUUAAAUCUCAACCAUUGGAUUCAUUUUACUUGAAUCCAACGGUUAGCAUCAGCCAAUAUAAAUUUAGUUACUGUAUAUGGAGUUUGAGAUUUUAAAGAUAAAGAGAGAAAAUGAGGUAGAGUGAGAGAGAUAUAGAGAAAAUAUUAUAUAAAAUAAAAAGUAAAGUGUAUUUCAGAAAAUACGCUUACAAGGUGUUUUAUGAGAACUCCUGAGGAGUGCCCGUAGCACCACUUUUCUCACUUUUAUUCAGCUUGUAAAACAAAGUACAGCCUGAAAUUAAACAUUUCCAAAUAAUAAUGGAAAAUUUAUGAAAAUAACCAUAAAUAUUUUGUUAUUUUCACAAUUAACCCUCUCAACUUUUUUCUAUCAACAUUAGCCAAACACAAGCUUUUCUCCCCAAAUUACCCUUCUUUACAGACCAAAAGCAACAUUGUUUUACCCAUAUCGUCAAACCAAACGUAGCUUUCCACUCAUGAAUCAUCAGCCAACGGUGAUGGCAAAAGACAACGAUAAAAGUGAAAUCCGAUCAUAAUCUAUCCAGAUCCAACACUAAUCGGCAUCAUUUAGUGGUAUAAGUUAUUUUCUGAACUUGUUGAACUGAGCCGGGGGGUGAAUCUGGCGAUAGGGUGCCUGUCGCACCAAAACUUGGUGCGACAGGCACCUGUUGCACCUUGCUUGGUGCGACAGGCACCCUGUCGCACCAAGCUUCAGGCGACAGGUUGCCUGUCGCCCCAACCCUUGGAGAUUCAUUAAAACUGUAUUAUUUUGAUAGGGCUCAAAUAAUUUUUUUUUUAUAAUUUCAGGCUUAAUGGAUUCAGUUUUACUUGAAUUGUGUUACGAUGGUUGAUGGAAGACAUUAGAGGAUGGCCGUAUGGAGUAUGUGAAUGGUAAAAAUUGAGCUUUUUUGGUUGGAAAAAAUUGUCUGUUUGAUCAGUUAUUGGCAAGAGUAUACGAGGUGUUACAAAUAAACCCUAAUGAAUAUAGUAUCACAAUGAAGACAACUUUGAGGUCUAGUAACACAUUAUAUCAUAUAUGUGCACUGCCUAUGGAUAUAUGUGAUGAUGAAAUGGUGAGGGUUGUGUUGCAUAUGGCAUCCGACGUAGCCAAUUUUGGAUGCAUUCCUAUAUUCGUGACCACAUCACCUCGAGUUCUGAGCGAAGGUAUUGAGCCACAUGUCGAUACAGAAACUUCGUUUAAAGCAAAUAUGUCUGGCCCCGAUAAUGAUGAAGAGGUGUUGCCAAGGACAAUAUCGCUGCAGUAAUAUUACUUUCCAAUCCACGACAAUUAUGACAACAUUGAUGAUAAUGACGUUACGUUACAGGAUGUUGGAGCAACGGUAUUCUCUGUAUCACAACAAUGAUUUUUGGGACAAUGAUGAUUUUCAUAAUGAGACAGAGGGGGAUAAUAUUUGUGCAAAACCUUCUAAUAAUACGAGGGGGGCACUCAUUUCAAUAAUGAUGGUGAUGAUGGAGGAGCCGGUCCUUCGAAUGUUCCGUCGUUUCAGCAUGAGGAUGAGUGUGAAAACAAUACUCCUGUGAAUAACAGAGGCAAUAGACCUAUUCCUUCUAUAGUUCGAUCGAGAAGGAGAAUUGACCCCCUUAUAAGUCUUACUCCAACUUUGCCUUCGAACAUGGUUGCUCCAAGCUUUGUUAGCAGUUGUGACUCAGAUGAUAUCAGCGUGGGUAAGCUAUUUGUUGAGAAGAAUGAGCUUAUAUUACAACUACGCAAGGUGGCCUUUAGAGAUAAGUUUGAUUUCAAGAUUGCACGGUCUACUACGACACGUUUCGAGGCUCACUGUUGUUCAGAAUCAUGUAAAUGGCGUAUUCGAGCAACUAGAUGUUCGAACGAGCAAAAUGUUCCUUGGGUGGUGAAGAGAAUUGAUAAUGUACACACUUGUCAAAAUGAGGUAUUGGUUUAUGGACGUCAUCAAGUAAGGAGCCGGGUUGUCGGUCAUAUUAUCGCAGAAAAAUAUAUUCAAGAUAAGAGGAUUUAUACUCCCAAUGACAUAAGAGCAUAUAUGCAAUAUGAAUACCGUGUUCAGUUAACAUACCAGCAGGCAUAUCGGGCGAGAGAAGUUGGUCUUGAAAUAGUUCGAGGCAAUCCUGCAGAGUCAUACAACUUGCUCCUUAAAUAUUCUCACGUACUAACUACAGCGAAUGAGGGUACAGUCACUCACCUCGAGCAGGAUGGAGAUGGUAAUUUCUUGUAUUAUUUUGUAGCACUCGGAUCUUCCAUCAAGGGGUUUAUGCAGUACAUUCGGCCUGUCAUUGCUGUAGAUGGUACUCAUCUGAAGGGACUAUAUCGUGGAAGCAUGUUCGUGGCAACAUGUCUUGAUGGUAACAAUCAAUUGUAUCCGUUAGCCAUUGGGAUCAUGGAUUCAGAAAACAAUGAUGCUUGGGAAUGGUUUAUGAUGAAGUUACACGGAGUGAUUGGCGAUAGACCUGAAUUGGUAAUUAUCUCUGAUCGAUGCACUGCCAUAAGGAGAGCCGUUCUUAAAGUAUUUCACAAUGCAACUCAUGGCGUUUGUUUUUACCACGUCAAAGGUAACAUUAAGUCACAAUUUAGAAUGUCCAAAGCUCUUUGGGAUGAAUUUGAGCCCGCCUUUAUUAAUGCAGCAAAAGCAUAUGGCCACGAGGAAUUUAAGAGACAACUUAAAGGGUUGUGGAUGAUCCACUCGGGUGCGGCUGAUUACCUAGAAAAUAAUGUCGGUACGUGUAAUUGGGCAAGGUCGCAGUUUGAAGGUAGGAGGUACAUCAUUCUUACCACCAACAUCGCGGAGAGUGUUAAUGCUUUCAUGAGGGAACCUCGAAAAUUUCCUGUUACUCAUCUUGUUGAUCACUUUAGGAAAACAUUGCAGCAAUGGUUUUAUGAUACUGCUGUACCGUACAUCCGCCUUGGCCGUACAGCAGUUGGAAAAAAUUACAUGUUUGAUCAGUUAUUGACAAGAGUAUAUGAGGUGUUAAAAAUAAAUCGUAAUGACUAUAGUAUCACAAUGAAGACAACUUUGAGGUCUAGUAACACAUUAUAUCGUAUAUGUGCAAUGCCCAUGGAUAUAUGUGAUGAUGAAAUGGUGAGGGUUGUGUUGCAUAUGGCAUCUGACGUAGCUAAUUUUGGAUGCAUUCCUAUAUUCGUGACCACAUCACCUCGAGUUCCGAGCGAAGGUAUUGAGCCACAUGUCGAUACAGAAACUUCGUUUAGAGCAAAUAUGUCUGGCCCCGAUAAUGAUGAAGAGGUGUUGCCAAGGACAAUAUCGUUGCAGCAAUAUUACUCUCCAAUCCACGAUAAUUAUGACAACAUUGAUGAUAAUGGCGUUACGUUACAGGAUGUUGGAGCAACGGUAUUUCCAAUAACAACGGACUGUAAGAUGCGGGCGGUGUCAUGAACUGGGCCAUAAUCAUAAGCGAUGUAAGAAUCCCAUUGCGUCGACUCGAAGUUAGUUGUAUUUUGUGUGUUAUUCGUUGGUUAAAACUGUUAUUGUUUUUUGUAUUUCUUUGGUUAAAACUAUUAUUGUUUUUUGUAUUUCGUUGGUUAAAACUAUUAUUGUUUUUUGUGUAUUGUACACUUAUAUGUCAUAAAACUUUAUUUUAUUUUAAAUAUUAAAAUGUGAGCAUUAAAAUUAUAUAAACUUAAGUGCGCAAAUUAAAAUAAAAAAUCAAAUUUCAAUAUUGAAAUUACUAAAUAGGUUUACAAUACAAUAUCGUCAUUAAAUAUGUCAACCGCAAUCUUCUUUUUAAAGUAUUCGACAUGACUAGCGUUAAACUCCAAUCUAAGCCCAAACAUUAAAUACAUCGUAACCAUCAAUACAAAAACACCGCAAUCGCCAGUUCUGGGCUCUUGUUAUGGCGCGCUCUUAACUGUCAUAACUUUCCAGGGGUCUGUACUCUGCAACUCAGGUCGGAUGUUGUAAAACCCAACAUAUUCCAACCAUUGAGGGAAUAUAACUUCAAGUGGCUUGAAUUUCAACUUGUACCUUUUGUCGUCGCGAAAUGUGAGUAAUGAGUCAUAAAUCCAGACUUUGUUUUUCCGAAAGUCAACUCGUACUAGUACCCAAUGCGCGCCGUCCAAGUUAACAAUUACUCAUCUUGUUGAUCACUUUAGGAAAACAUUGCAGCAAUAGUUUUAUUAUAGAAAAAUUAUGGCUGAAUCUAUGACUACUCGACUAACAACAUGGGCGGAUGAAAUAGUCACUGAGAGGAGAACUAUAGCUGAAAGAAUGAUAGUUCGGCCGGUGUCUCUGCAUCGAUUUCAAGUUAUAGGCGGUGGGCUUAAAGAAGGUUUGGUUGACUUGCAAAAGAGAACUUGCUCCUGCAGAGUGUUUCAGCUUGAUCAGCUUGUGUGUGCUCAUGCAAUUGCGGCGUGUCUAACACACCGGGUGGAUUUUAUUAACCUUUGCUCGGACUUUUACACUACAGAAUCGUUGGCGAUGGCUUAUGCACAACCAGUGGAGCCAGUUGGUGAUGUGGCUGAUUGGGAAGUUCCAGAUGAAAUUCAGGAGAUGUAAGUAUACCCACCAGUUGAGGCACCACCACCUGGCCAUCGUAAAGAGCUCAGAAUACCCUCGGCUGGCGAGGACGUUAACCGACGGACUGUAAGAUGCGGGCGGUGUCAUGAACUGGGCCAUAAUCAUAAGCGAUGUAAGAAUCCCAUUGCGUCGACUCGAAGUUAGUUGUAUUUUGUGUGUUAUUCGUUGGUUAAAACUGUUAUUGUUUUUUGUAUUUCUUUGGUUAAAACUAUUAUUGUUUUUUGUAUUUCGUUGGUUAAAACUAUUAUUGUUUUUUGUGUAUUGUACACUUAUAUGUCAUAAAACUUUAUUUUAUUUUAAAUAUUAAAAUGUGAGCAUUAAAAUUAUAUAAACUUAAGUGCGCAAAUUAAAAUAAAAAAUCAAAUUUCAAUAUUGAAAUUACUAAAUAGGUUUACAAUACAAUAUCGUCAUUAAAUAUGUCAACCGCAAUCUUCUUUUUAAAGUAUUCGACAUGACUAGCGUUAAACUCCAAUCUAAGCCCAAACAUUAAAUACAUCGUAACCAUCAAUACAAAAACACCGCAAUCGCCAGUUCUGGGCUCUUGUUAUGGCGCGCUCUUAACUGUCAUAACUUUCCAGGGGUCUGUACUCUGCAACUCAGGUCGGAUGUUGUAAAACCCAACAUAUUCCAACCAUUGAGGGAAUAUAACUUCAAGUGGCUUGAAUUUCAACUUGUACCUUUUGUCGUCGCGAAAUGUGAGUAAUGAGUCAUAAAUCCAGACUUUGUUUUUCCGAAAGUCAACUCGUACUAGUACCCAAUGCGCGCCGUCCAAGUUAACAAGGAUGAGUAACUGUAUAUAAAAAUUGAAAAACAUGUUCGUUAUACAUGAAAUUGAAAUAUAACAGAGAAAAAACGACAACUCGAAUAUUUUCAUUAUGGAGUAUGUGAAAUUCAAUAAAAUACAUAUCAUAUCGACAUUCGUCAUUGAUUUGGACAUUGUGUGCUGUCGCCCACAAAGAUAACUAUUCAAGCGGUCGUCGAAUACCAAUGAAUCGACCGCACAAUCCCCGUUAUUUCAUAACUGAUUCAAGAACACCUAGUACAUAGAUAACCAAGAAAUGUAUAAAUUAACAAAACUUAAAGGCAAUAAUUAAAAAAAAUUAAAUAGUAUUUAUAAGUUUUGUCGGCAAGUUACCCAAAAAAAUGUGUCAGUAUGUGUGACACGUUGGAGUAAGGCAUUUGGAUAUUGCCGUUGUUUCUCGCUAAUCAAGCGGAGAUACUCGUGAAUAUGCUGUAGAGAAACAUAAAUAUAACGAUUUAAAAGAAAAAUUUUAUACACAAAUCCACAACACUAAAAAAACUUCGAAAAUAUAAAUACCUCAUCGCCUAGCCAUCCCAUCGAAUCUGUACCCAAAAUUAUUUGAAAGAAUGACCGCGGGUGCUGGACUCUCCGGCGGACUCUGAUAUCACCAGUGAACCAUCGAUCAAACUCAGCAAACAGACUAGAGUCCUCCAAUCCUCUCAGUGGAUUUACAUCCACACUCGUACUCAUGUCAAUCGCAUGCUCCAUGAUUUGGGGUCGAGGUAAAGGCCGGACGUUCUGUCCUCGCCUGACCGGAGGAAUCAUGUAAGGACUGUUAUAAACAUACGACGGUAUGUACGCACGGCCGAACUUACUAACGCCCAGAGGCACCUCAGUGAACACCUGCACGCUCUCCCCACUAACAUCCCCGUAGGAACUAUACAAUGACGUGGGCGUAGAUAAAUUUUCAUUGCCCACGUCAGUAUACACUCCAACGUCAUCCGGGGCCUGUACAUUCGCCAAAAAGAACAUAUUAAAUAAAUAUAAAAUUAAAAGUCUAACGAACAUAAUUAUUAAAUUUAAAUUAGCUUACCGCAUACGAGCGUGCAGUGGGAGAAUCCUUAUUUGGACGUUUAGAAAAUGUGUCGAUGAAGCCAACAAUGGUUUCUUUAAAAUCUUUUAAUUAUGACUUUAUUUCAUACACGUUACGAUCAAUCUUAUCCAGCCGUCGUCGUACGUAAUCAUUAAACUGUUUUGUCCUCGACUAUUACAAAAGGAAAAAAUAAAUUUAGAAUAACAAUAAAAAAAUAAUAAUUUAUAAAGGAAAAAUAUCAUAUAUUAUUUAUAACCUCAGAAUCUCGUGCGUCAUCAGAGUUGUCUGUUUGCUGCUGGUGGUCAUCAACAGCCACCUCAUCCUCAAAAGUGUCAUGCCCCACCUCAUCCGCAAAAGUGUCAUGACGCUGCUCUGGUAUUGGGUUUGGUAUGUCGUCAUGAUCGUCAUGCUCGUCUGAUUGCCUUGUAACCGACGGCAUCGCGUUGAUUGAGGGUUGGUGCUGUAUAAAGUAUCAUUUAAAAUUAGUAAAUGAAAAGUCAAAAAUUUCGAUUAACAAAUUUUUAGUGCUUAGAGUAUACCGACCUUAUGAACCCAGUCUGGAAUGCUUGGCAAGUAAUCCUUCACAGAGAGCCAAUANNNNNNNNNNNNNNNNNNNNNNNNNNNNNNNNNNNNNNNNNNNNNNNNNNNNNNNNNNNNNNNNNNNNNNNNNNNNNNNNNNNNNNNNNNNNNNNNNNNNNNNNNNNNNNNNNNNNNNNNNNNNNNNNNNNNNNNNNNNNNNNNNNNNNNNNNNNNNNNNNNNNNNNNNNNNNNNNNNNNNNNNNNNNNNNNNNNNNNNNNNNNNNNNNNNNNNNNNNNNNNNNNNNNNNNNNNNNNNNNNNNNNNNNNNNNNNNNNNNNNNNNNNNNNNNNNNNNNNNNNNNNNNNNNNNNNNNNNNNNNNNNNNNNNNNNNNNNNNNNNNNNNNNNNNNNNNNNNNNNNNNNNNNNNNNNNNNNNNNNNNNNNNNNNNNNNNNNNNNNNNNNNNNNNNNNNNNNNNNNNNNNNNNNNNNNNNNNNNNNNNNNNNNNNNNNNNNNNNNNNNNNNNNNNNNNNNNNNNNNNNNNNNNNNNNNNNNNNNNNNNNNNNNNNNNNNNNNNNNNNNNNNNNNNNNNNNNNNNNNNNNNNNNNNNNNNNNNNNNNNNNNNNNNNNNNNNNNNNNNNNNNNNNNNNNNNNNNNNNNNNNNNNNNNNNNNNNNNNNNNNNNNNNNNNNNNNNNNNNNNNNNNNNNNNNNNNNNNNNNNNNNNNNNNNNNNNNNNNNNNNNNNNNNNNNNNNNNNNNNNNNNNNNNNNNNNNNNNNNNNNNNNNNNNNNNNNNNNNNNNNNNNNNNNNNNNNNNNNNNNNNNNNNNNNNNNNNNNNNNNNNNNNNNNNNNNNNNNNNNNNNNNNNNNNNNNNNNNNNNNNNNNNNNNNNNNNNNNNNNNNNNNNNNNNNNNNNNNNNNNNNNNNNNNNNNNNNNNNNNNNNNNNNNNNNNNNNNNNNNNNNNNNNNNNNNNNNNNNNNNNNNNNNNNNNNNNNNNNNNNNNNNNNNNNNNNNNNNNNNNNNNNNNNNNNNNNNNNNNNNNNNNNNNNNNNNNNNNNNNNNNNNNNNNNNNNNNNNNNNNNNNNNNNNNNNNNNNNNNNNNNNNNNNNNNNNNNNNNNNNNNNNNNNNNNNNNNNNNNNNNNNNNNNNNNNNNNNNNNNNNNNNNNNNNNNNNNNNNNNNNNNNNUUACCGCAUACGAGCGUGCAGUGGGAGAAUCCUUAUUUGGACGUUUAGAAAAUGUGUCGAUGAAGCCAACAACGGUUUCUUUAAAAUCUUUUAAUUCUGACUUUAUUUCAUACACGUUACGAUCAAUCUUAUCCAGCCGUCGUCGCAUGUAAUCAUUAAACUGCUUUGUCCUCGACUAUUACAAAAGAAAACAAUAAAACUUUAGAAUAACAGUAAAAAAAUAAUGAUUUAUAAAGAAAAAAUAUCAUAUAUUAUUUAUAACCUCAGAAUCCCGUGCGUCAUCAGAGUUGUCUGUUUGCUGCUAAUGGUCAUCAACAGCCACCUCAUCCUCAGAAGUGUCAUGACGCUACUCUGGUAUUGGGUUUGGUAUGUCGUCAUGAUCGUUAUGCUCGUCUGAUUGCCUUGUAACCGACGGCAUCGCGUUGAUUGAGGGUUGGUGCUGUAUAAAGUAUCAUUUGAAAUUAGUAAAUGAAAAGUCAAAAAUUUCGAUUAAAAAAUUUUUAGUACUUAGAGUAUACUGACCUUAUGAACCCAGUCUGGAAUGCUUGGCAAGUAAUCCUUCACAGAGAGCCAAUAUUUUCUACUACUUUCAUUUGAAUUCUAGCCUACAACAACCAAAGUGAAAAAUCAAAUAAAACAACUAUCAAAUAUUUAAUACUAUAAAACUUAUUAAUAAACAAAAAAAACGCACUUGAACCCCGGACGUAAAGCCGUAAAGAUUGUAUUUUUCAAUGUUAUGAUCUGGAUUUUUCAACUGAGUCUUCUUAAAUUUCUCGUCUUUCUCGAACAGUGCAUUGUCAAGACUCUCGUAAAUCAUUUCCCACGAUAAUAGACCCUAUGGACGCCUUCGGAAGUACUGUAUAUCAUCAACUUGGUCAAGCCAAUCGAAAUUGAUUUGACAGUGAUUUUUUCUUGCAUUUAGUACUCUGUCCGCAAAAUAAAACAACGCAAUCUUUAAUGCGUCCAUAUCGUCCAUUUCCUCGCAUUUCAACUCCUUCAAUACUGCAUCGAAUUCGUCCACAUUAAGCUUACUAUGCACACCACCAAAAUAUGUAUUUCGUAGCCUCUGCUCCAUUUCAUCAUUUUUUUUAUUGGUAUCAACACCAAAUGAAAGUCUAGUAACCAAGCACCAUUCGACAAUUGACAAGCGAAUCAAAUGCUCACUAAUUUGAAACCAUAACUGAUCCUCAAGGCUAUCUUCUUCAUGGGCCACUUGCCUCAGUAAAAGAUUGUGCAAAAUUACCCCACUAAAUGGAAAACUUCGACACUCCAAGAAAUGCCCAAAUAUAUCCUUUUUGAACAUACUCAACUGCCGCUUUGUUAAUUUUUCCUCGAUGGCUUUUACGACCGAAGAUAACUUACACAUGCUCGAAAUUCGACCAGGAAAGUGAUCGGCAUAACGAAAAUACAUCUUGCCUACUUCGAUAUCAGAUGAUUCUGAUUUCGCCAUGUAUCUGUAAUAUUUAUAAAAUUAUUACAUUACAUUUACAGAAAAAAAAUUGACUCGUUAAAAAAAAAGGCCACUCUAAUUUUUUGUGCGAUAGCGGGGCGCGCGCGCCCUACCCCCCUCCCUCCCCACCCCCAAAAUUAAUCCACAACACUCCAAAAUCGAAAAACAAUACUCCCAAACACCACCAACCACCACAAACACCACCACCAUUAACAUUAUUCUCAAACUAUAACCAUUAUUAUUCUAAAAUUUCAUUUUAAAUUAAUGAAAAUAAGAAAAAUGACUAACCUAGGUUUUGUUGAAGGUUGUAGAUCGUAGAUCGAAUGCCGGUGAGAGAUGGAGUCGCCGCCGACGAGGGUUGAUGUCACCGCCGAUGAUGGGAGUUAGAUCGGUUUGGGAGAGAUGAGUGAAAGGGAGUGUUGGGGGAGAGAUGAGGGAGAAGGGUAUUUUGGUCUCAAAGGUUGUUUUAUGGCUAAUGUUGAUAGAAAUAUUUUUGGGGGGUUAAGAUGAAAAAAAUCAAAACUUUAAUGGUUAUUACUGUAAAUUUCCCAAUAAUAAUCAACGUGAUAGAUCCGAAUUCGCAGAAAUCUAGGCCACUCCGAACAAUUUAUAGCCCCCACUUCUCCCAGGAAUAAGCUUUUCAUAUUCCUAUAACUACAUAUUGGUUUUUAUUUGAUUUAAAUUUAUUUAUUAAUGCUGCGAAUUUUAUCAUAUUUUACUUAAUAUAUUAUAAGGUUGAUUACAGUUAGCUAUUUGAGUUUUUUUGUUCAUUUUACGAAAAUUUUCGUGUUUUAAUCAGAAAAAAGACAUGUCUAAAUAAUUUUAUUAAACUUACUGCAGAAAAAAAAGAGACAAGUUAAACUUAUAUAUAUUUUAUUUAUUAUAUCAUGAAACAAUACUUGAGUAAUAAAAUUUACCAAGCGUAUAUACUUUUCUUUUGAAACUCACGAGAAUCGCACCAACAUAAUUUAACAUAUACCUAACUGCUUUUUAUUACGCGACUUAUUUCAUCAACAGAAUAAAUCUAUGUUAAUUAAUCAAGAAAAAAAAAGCUUUGUACAUUCCCAAGGUUUAAUUUAAUGGUCGCAUAGACCGCAUGACUUCAUAAAUGGUCAUACAAACCCCUUUAACUAUUAUAUCAUUUGAUUGUAACAGCCAAAAAUUGACUUUAAAUAAAUUUCUACAAUAAAUAUAAAUAAAAUAUAAAAUAAUGUAAUACAAAAAAUAAUUCAAAAUUUAUAAAUUAUUUUGAAUAUUAAAAAAGUUAUUUAAUACUAUUAAUCUGCCAUAUAUUAUUUAAUAACAAUAAGAUCUCUUUGAAAAAAUUAAAAAAUAUAUGACAGGUUUAUUAACGUCGAAAUUUGGACUAGUCAGUUACCGAUUGGAUACCAAAUCUCUACGUCAGCAUUAAAUUUAUUUGUUGGGGAAGCGACUUACCAAUCGCCAAGGAUGCGUUGCGAUCACUAGGAAACAACUUGCAAACACCUGAAAUCACAAAGAACGAUAAGAAGUGAACCCUCUUACGCUCAAGUCAGUUAUCGAGUUUACAAGAAAAAUAAAAUAUGCAAUUUUUAGUUUUUAUGAAUAAAUAAUCUUAAGUAAAUGUAAUAGAAAAAUCAAAAUUGAGAAAGAAAGUUUAACCUCCCUUGGCAUGAUUUUCCUAGGGUCUUUAUAAACUCCUCAAACCCACGAUCUUAGAUCAUGGCAAUAAUCAUUAAUGGAUCAAAUUCACGCCUUGAUUUUCGUAGGAGGUCCAUGGUAGUUCAUUUUGACUGAGUUUUGUUUCAUGGUAAUCUCUUAGUCGAGAUGAUCUGCUCGAGAUCACCAAAUAAUCUCCUGGUCGAGGUGAUGUGCUCGAGGUCACCAAAUAAUUUCCUAAUGGAGUGAUGUGCUCGUGGUAACCAAAUAACAUCAUGGUUGCGAUCAUCAAAAUUACCACCUGAUCAAGGUUUUCUGUUCGAGAUCAUCAAAAUUACCACUUGCUCGAGGUAAUAUGCUCAAGGUCAUCAAAAGUACCACCUAGUUGAGGUGGUCUACUGUAACAUAUGCACUUUAAUUUUUCUUAAUUAAGUGUAUGAUUUAAUUUUUCCUCUUCGAUAUUAAUUUUAAAAUUUGUCACAACAUUAAAUCGAGAUAAAUUGAGCGCGAUUAAAAGCUCGAGUAGUCGGAUUUUAUUUUCGUCACGGGACCGGUAUAAGUUUAAUUUGUAUUAAGCUUAAGUGCAAAAAAAAAUAAAAAAUAAAAAUAAAAAGAGAAGCCAGUUUCUAUAAAUGGAAAGGGGAAGCUGGUUUCCAAAAACGGAAAGAAAGAGGGGCACGUGAGAGAGAGAGAGAAAGAGAGUUGACCCGGUUUGACCCGCGAAUCCGACCCGACCCGCGACCUUGACCGGGACGGCUCUAGCGAUUCCGGCCACCUCACCGGCCGAGCAUGGUACCGAUCUGAAGCUUGGAAGCUGCCAUGACAACCCAGCCGUCCUAGUUACCGGAAAAUGACUGGAAACGCCGGCAAUUGAGCUUGAAAAUUCGCGGCCAAGACCCGUUUUCGCCGCCGUUGAUCCUGCCGGAUUUUUUGGCACACCACCGCUCGGAUCUUGUUCCUCAAUUUAGCCUCGUCAUUUCCCGACCAAUAUCAUCACCUGAAACGGCCGGAUUACCGCCGAUCAGCCACUUGGAAAGCUCACGGCUUGGGAAGCUAGAUCCGCCGCCGGAACCGCGCGUGGGGACCCACGGCCACCACCAUUGGACUCACCGAGGUCUGAACUAUCAGACCUAAGCUUCCCGUCGUCGUUAAUUGAAGUUCGGUCUCCGUUGACCGGCGGGGCAAUUCGGUAAAUUCAUAAAACUUUAGGGUGAAUUUGUAAUUUAUGGAAUCAGUGGAUAAUUUGGUAAUUUUAGGUUAGGGCAAUGAGGUAAUUUGAGAUUUCGAGAGUAAUUCGGUAAUUUACGUUGUUAAGGGCAUUUUGGUAAUUUACGCUCCGAGGGUAAUUUCAUAAUUUCUGACAUUGUGGUAAUUUCGUGAUUUGAAUUGAGGACAAUUUGGUAAUUGAAGAUUCUGAGGAUAUUUUGGUAAAAUAAUGAUGUUGGGGGUAUUUUGGUAUUUUUGGCAUGUAGGGGUAUUUUGGUAAUUUUGUACAUGCGGGAAUAGUGAUUGUUGAGAGAUAUUCGUUUCGAGAAUUAUUAUGUAAGAUUAGUUGUAUUUCAAAUUUACGGAGAAUGAUUAUGUCGUUUCCUUGAUUAGGAGGAUCCGCGAACGAGAAUCAACUCGCAGACGUUGUUGAUACCGAGUCUGGACAUCAUCACUGUGAGUGGAAUAUACAAAACCUAUUUUCAUAGUAUAUGCUGAUUUUAUGAUACAGUGCAGUAUGUUUUGGUAAAUAAGUAUUUGAUGCUUUAAUUUAAUGAUUUUCUAGAAAAUUGAUUUUUAUCUAUGUGUUGAUAUUUAUUGUUAUUAAGAAUGAGUUUGAUUAAUGAUUUUAUUGUCGUUUUUGAGUAAAUGCAUUAUAUUAGAAUUGAGUGGAUUUGAGAUAUGUUGAAUAAAAAGAAAAUGAGAUUUCAGAUGUGAUUAUAUGUUUAUGUACAUGUGUAUAAAAUGUUAUUUGGGAAAUCAUUAGACAAUACCCUUUCCCUCCAGAUACAGAGAUACAAAUAAUACGAGAUGAAUAGAGAGAUACAGAUGAGAUUAGAUAGAGGCCUUUGGGGCCCGUCUGAACACACAUAGAGGCUUUGGGCCGUGUGUUUGGGUGUUUUUGCAUUUUGGGGGCUUAUGCAUGCAGUAUGAUGAUUAUAGAGAACAGAUGUUGAGAUACAUGAGAUAUGAGAUGAGAUUUUCCCCAUCUAUCCGUUGUAGCUCCGGGGCAUGAUGGUUCCUUGAUUGCCCAUUCGUCGAGGUCCGGAUAUGAUGAGAUCAUUCCCCUGGGUACUUGUUUGAUGAUAGUUUUUGGUAUUUAGUAAUUGAUAUUAUAAGUAUCAUGAUUUCAUUGAUUUUAUGCAUAUUUAUAUAAUAUUGUAUUUCAGUGAAUGAUUUGAAUUGAAUAUGUUUAUAUAAGAUCUUAUGAUAUUUUGAUGAAAUUGAUUUGAGAAAGAUUAAAUCAUUUUAAAUAAUUUAUUUUUCAAAAACUACUAUCCACUCACUGAGCUCACUGAGUUUUAUACUCACCCCGUUUUUAUUAUAUUUUUCCCCCCCACAG